UACGGGGGGAGCAAGCGUUGUUCGGAUUUACUGGGCGUAAAGGGCGCGUAGGCGGCCACUGCAAGUCAGUUGUGAAAUCUCCGGGCUUAACCCGGAAAGGUCAACUGAUACUGCAGGGCUAGAGUGCAGAAGGGGCAACUGGAAUUCUCGGUGUAGCGGUGAAAUGCGUAGAUAUCGAGAGGAACACCUGCGGCGAAGGCGGGUUGCUGGGCUGACACUGACGCUGAUGUGCGAAAGCUAGGGGAGCAAACAGG
rnacentral:rRNA from 1 species